rnacentral:rRNA from 1 species
UGAAGGUAGUAAGGGCACGCAGUGGAUGCCUAGGCGGCAGGAGGCGAAGAAGGGCGUGGCAAGCUGCGAAAAGCCUGGGGGAGCCGCAAGCGGGCGUUGAUCCCAGGAUUCCCGAAUGGGGCAACCUGCACGGGGGAAACCCCGUGCGCCCGAGAGGGCGCGAAACCCGGGGAAGUGAAACAUCUCAGUACCCGGAGGAAAAGAAAUCAAACGAGAUUCCCUGAGUAGAGGCGAUCGAAAGGGGAGGAGCCUAAACCAGCCGUGAGGCUGGGGUCGUGGGACACAGCUAGGCUGAGACCGCUCUGAGGCGUUGUGUAGCCGAACAGUCUGGGAAGGCUGGCCAAAGAGGGUGAAAGCCCCGUAGGCGAAACGCAACGCGUAGGAGUGGCUGUGAUCCCGAGUAGCGCGGGACUCGAGGAAUCCCGCGUGAAUCAGGGGGGACCACCCUCCAAGGCUAAAUACUACCUGCCGACCGAUAGCGCAACCAGUACCGUGAGGGAAAGGUGAAAAGCACCCCGGAAGGGGAGUGAAAGAGACCUGAAACUGCGUGCCUACGAGAAGUCGGAGCCCGAGAGGGUGACGAUGUGCCUUUUGAUUAAUGAGCCUGGGAGUUACCGUACCUGGCGAGGUUAAGCCGGGAGAGGCGGAGCCGAAGCGAAAGCGAGUCCGAAUAGGGCGCGAGUCAGGUGCGGUAGACCCGAAGCCGGGUGAGCUACCCAUGGGCAGGAUGAAGGUGGGGUAAAACCCACUGGAGGUCCGAACCGGUGGAUCGUGAAAAAUCCUCGGAUGACCUGUGGGUAGGAGUGAAAAGCUAACCGAACUCGGUGAUAGCUGGUUCUCCCCGAAAUGCAUUGAGGUGCAGCCUCGGCAGUUCUGUGGUGGAGGUAGAGCACUGAUAGGGCUAGUGGGGUUACCUGCGAACCCUGUCAAACUGCGAAUGCCGCCACACUAAUGCCGGGAGUGAGCCCGUGGGGGAUAAGCUCCACGGACGAGAGGGGAACAACCCAGACCGUCGGCUAAGGGCCCGGAGAGGUGGCUAAGUGUGAAGAGGAAGGAAGUGGUGCGUCCUAGACAACCGGGAUGUUGGCUUAGAAGCAGCCAUCAUUUAAAGAGUGCGUAACAGCUCACCGGUCGAGACGCACUGCGCCGAAAAUGUGCGGGGCUGAAGCCACCCCCCGAAGCCACGGAACCAGCGGAAGCUGGUUGGUAGGGGAGCGUUCCGCGGUAGGGAGAAGGUAGACCCGUGAGGGCUACUGGACGAGGCGGAAGUGAGAAUCCAGGCAUGAGUAUACGAGAGGAUGGUGAGAAUCCAUCCCCCCGAAAGCCUAAGGGUACCUGGGGAAGGUUCGUCCGCCCAGGGUGAGUCGGGACCUAAGGGAAACCCGAAAGGGGUACCCGAUGGGAAACCGGUUAAUAUUCCGGUACCACCUGCGUAUCGACACUGUAGGCGGGGACGCAGGAGGCUAAGCUCCGGGGAUAAGUGGCAAAUCCCUCCAAGCGGUUAGGCGAAGAGGGCUGUAGGUAAGUCCGCAGCCUGAGCUGAGCCGUGAAGGGGAGAGCCCGAGAGGGCUCAACGGAGCUGACGCCACACUGCCGAGAAAAGCCGCGUGCAGUGAUACGUGGGUGCCCGUUCCGCAAACCGACACAGGUAGGCGGGCUGAGAAAGCUAAGGGGAGCGGGAUAACCCUUGCCAAGGAACUCGGCAAAUUGGCCCCGUAACUUCGGGAGAAGGGGUGCUACGGUAGGUUGAACCCAGGGGAAGCCGAGAGGCGGAAACUGGGGGAGGCCGAGGUAGCCGCAGUGACAAGGCCCUGGCGACUGUUUACCAAAAACACAGGUCUCUGCGAACUCGAUGAGAGGAAGUAUAGGGACUGACGCCUGCCCGGUGCCGGAAGGUUAAGGGGAGGGGUGCAAGCUCCGAACCGAAGCCCCGGUAAACGGCGGCCGUAACUAUAACGGUCCUAAGGUAGCGAAAUUCCUUGUCGGGU